AUGGAAAUAAACAAAAUGUUUAAAAAAGUGUUGCAGAUCUUGAAAUAAACAAAAUUAACUCUUGGAAAAAAACAGAAUGUAUGUUCUAGAAUGUUAAUAUUGUGUACUUGUUUUCAAUAUUUCACCAGUGGACUAGUAAAAAAAUAUGAUACUAUAAUAUAAGUAUAGGUGUCUAUGUACAAAAAAUGUAUGAAAACACAUGUAGAUACAUGUACAAUGUAUGUGAAUGCAUCUUUUUGUAAAGGUCUCUAUACAUGUUAUAUGUGUGUGGACAUGUAUGUAUGUAACUAGAGCAUAUGUGUGAAUGAAUAUAUAUGUAAGUGUGAAUGCAUGUAUGUAGGUAUGUAAGUUAUGUAUGCAUGAAAGUGAAGUCUAAAAAUAAUUUGGAAACAAAAGGGGGGAUAAAGGUAAAAAAAAAAAA
rnacentral:lncRNA from 1 species